GUUUGAUUUGGGUUUUAUACAAAUACGUAUUCCAUUCUGUUAAACUAUAUGUUUAACUACCAAAAAUACUCCCAACUACACACUCACAAUCAAACAAACUAUUAAAUCAUCAAAAGAUCCAGAAUAAUAAAAUGCAUGCUUAAUUAUCGGAAGAAGUAGAAUCAAGAAGCUUGUUAACUCAAUCUUGCAUGCUUAUAAAGUAAUUACAGUAUAUUGGAGUAAGGAUUGGAUCCGGCACUGAAGGACUUCAAGAAGUGGCUUAUUUUAUUAAUUAAAUCAACUUAAGAAAUAUUGUUUUUGGGUUUAUCCCGUAUUAAAAGCUACCUUUGUAAAACAUGGAAUUUAUUCCAUCUAUUUAAAAUCCGGUGUUU
rnacentral:lncRNA from 1 species